GAUGAACGCUAGCGACAGGCUUAACACAUGCAAGUCGAGGGGCAGCACAGGUAGCAAUACCGGGUGGCGACCGGCGCACGGGUGAGUAACGCGUAUGCAACUUACCUAUCAGAGGGGGAUAACCCGGCGAAAGUCGGACUAAUACCGCAUGAAGCAGGGGUCCCGCAUGGGGAUAUUUGCUAAAGAUUCAUCGCUGAUAGAUAGGCAUGCGUUCCAUUAGGCAGUUGGCGGGGUAACGGCCCACCAAACCGACGAUGGAUAGGGGUUCUGAGAGGAAGGUCCCCCACAUUGGUACUGAGACACGGACCAAACUCCUACGGGAGGCAGCAGUGAGGAAUAUUGGUCAAUGGCCGAGAGGCUGAACCAGCCAAGUCGCGUGAGGGAUGAAGGUUCUAUGGAUCGUAAACCUCCUUUAUAAGGGAAUAAAGUGCGGGACGUGUCCCGUUUUGUAUGUACCUUAUGAAUAAGGAUCGGCUAACUCCGUG
rnacentral:rRNA from 1 species